CCUACGGGGGGCAGCAGUGAGGAAUAUUGGUCAAUGGCCGGAAGGCUGAACCAGCCAUGCCGCGUGAAGGUCAGUGCCCUAUGGGCGUUAAACUUCUUUUGUGCGGGAGCAAUAAUGGUCACGUGUGGCCAGACGAGAGUACCGUACGAAUAAGCAUCGGCUAACUCCGUGCCAGCAGCCGCGGUAAUACGGGGGAUGCAAGCGUUAUCCGGAUUUAUUGGGUUUAAAGGGUGCGUAGGCUGUGAGGUAAGGCAGCGGUGAAAUGCCCCCGCUCAACGGGGUGAAGUGCCAUUGAUACUGCCUGGCUGGAAUGCGGAUGCCGUGGGAGGAAUGUGUGGUGUAGCGGUGAAAUGCAUAGAUAUCACACAGAACACCGAUUGCGAAGGCAUCUCACGAAUCCGCGAUUGACGCUGAUGCACGAAAGCGUGGGUAUCAAACAGGAUUAGAUACCCUAGUAGUC
rnacentral:rRNA from 1 species